AGUCGAGCGAUGAACCCUUCGGGGUGGAUUAGCGGCGGACGGGUGAGUAACACGUGGGUAACCUGCCUCAAAGAGGGGAAUAGCCUCCCGAAAGGGAGAUUAGUACCGCAUAAUAUGUUUUAAUCGCAUGAUUGAAACAUCAAAGGAGUAAUCCGCUUUGAGAUGGACCCGCGGCGCAUUAGCUAGUUGGUGAGGUAACGGCUCACCAAGGCGACGAUGCGUAGCCGACCUGAGAGGGUGAUCGGCCACAUUGGAACUGAGACACGGUCCAGACUCCUACGGGAGGCAGCAGUGGGGAAUAUUGCGCAAUGGGGGAAACCCUGACGUAGCAACGCCGCGUGAAUGAUGAAGGCCUUCGGGUUGUAAAGUUCUGUCUUCUGGGACGAUAGUGACGGUACCAGAGGAGGAAGCCACGGCUAACUACGUGCCAGCAGCCGCGGUAAUACGUAGGUGGCAAGCGUUGCCCGGAUUUACUGGGCGUAAAGGAUGCGUAGGCGGACAUUUAAGUCAGAUGUGAAAUACCCGAGCUUAACUUGGGUGCUGCAUUUGAAACUGGGUGUCUAGAGUGCAGGAGAGGUAAGUGGAAUUCCUAGUGUAGCGGUGAAAUGCGUAGAGAUUAUGAAGAACACCAGUGGCGAAGGCGACUUACUGGACUGUAACUGACGCUGAGGCAUGAAAGCGUGGGGAGCAAACAGGAUUAGAUACCCUGGUAGUCCACGCCGUAAACGAUGAUACUAGGUGGUCGGGGGUCGAACCUCGGUGCCGCAGUUAACACAAUAAGUAUUCCGCCUGGGGAGUACGAUCGCAAGAUUAAAACUCAAGGGAAUUUGACGGGGGCCCGCACAAGCAGCGGAGCAUGUGGUUUAUUUCGAGCAACGCGAAG
rnacentral:rRNA from 1 species